rnacentral:rRNA from 1 species
CAGCAGUCGCGAAAACUUCGCAAUGGGGGAAACCCCGACGAGGGAAUUCCAAGUGCUAGCACUUUGUGUUAGCUGUUCUUCUGUCUAAAAAACAGGAGAAGUAAGGGGCGGGUAAGACGGGUGCCAGCCGCCGCGGUAAUACCCGCGCCCCGAGUGGUGGUCGAUAUUAUUGAGCCUAAAACGUUCGUAGCCGGUCUUCUAAAUCCUUGGGUAAAUCGGGCAGCUUAACUGUCCGAAUUCCGGGGAGACUGGGAGACUUGGGACCGGGAGAGGUCAGAGGUACUUCUGGGGUAGGGGUAAAAUCCUGUAAUCCUGGAAGGACCACCGGUGGCGAAGGCGUCUGACUAGAACGGAUCCGACGGUGAGGAACGAAGCCCUGGGGCGCAAACGGGAUUAGAUACCCCGGUAGUCCAGGGUGUAAACGCUGCGGGCUUGGUGUUGGGGGUCCUUAGGGGGCGCCCAGUGCCGGAGAGAAGUUGUU